CCUACGGGUGGCAGCAGUGGGGAAUAUUGGACAAUGGGCGAAAGCCUGAUCCAGCCAUGCCGCGUGUGUGAAGAAGGCCUUCGGGUUGUAAAGCACUUUCAGUGGGGAAGAAAUCCUUGGGGCUAAUACCCUCGAGGAAGGACAUCACCCACAGAAGAAGCACCGGCUAACUCCGUGCCAGCAGCCGCGGUAAUACGGAGGGUGCGAGCGUUAAUCGGAAUUACUGGGCGUAAAGCGCGCGUAGGCGGUCUGAUAAGCCGGUUGUGAAAGCCCCGGGCUCAACCUGGGAACGGCAGCCGGAACUGUCAGGCUAGAGUGCAGGAGAGGAAGGUAGAAUUCCCGGUGUAGCGGUGAAAUGCGUAGAGAUCGGGAGGAAUACCAGUGGCGAAGGCGGCCUUCUGGACUGACACUGACGCUGAGGUGCGAAAGCGUGGGUAGCAAACAGGAUUAGAUACCCCGGUAGUC
rnacentral:rRNA from 1 species